rnacentral:rRNA from 1 species
GAGUUUGAUCUUGGCUCAGAGUGAACGCUGGCGGCAGGCCUAACACAUGCAAGUCGAACGGCAGCGCAGCAGUAGCAAUACUGUGGGCGGCGAGUGGCGGACGGGUGAGGAAUACAUCGGAAUCUACCUUGUCGUGGGGGAUAACGUAGGGAAACUUACGCUAAUACCGCAUACGACCUACGGGUGAAAGCGGCGGACCGCAAGGCGUCGCGCGAUUGGACGAGCCGAUGUCCGAUUAGCUAGUUGGCGGGGUAAAGGCCCACCAAGGCGACGAUCGGUAGCUGGUCUGAGAGGAUGAUCAGCCACACUGGAACUGAGACACAGUCCAGACUCCUACGGGAGGCAGCAGUGGGGAAUAUUGGACAAUGGGCGCAAGCCUGAUCCAGCCAUGCCGCGUGUGUGAAGAAGGCCUCGG